UCACUGGGCAUGUGCUCGUUCCAUCUAUUUAUCUUCUCUUGUGCACAUCUUGUGGUCUUGAAUUGAAACCUCUCGCAUUCGUGCGGUUUGGGAGUCUGAAUAAACUCUGCUCCUGCUUCGUUCAAGAUCAUGUUUUCAUAUACACUAUAAAGUUACAGAAUGUCUUUUAACGAUUGCGCAAGCAGUCAUUAAACCUAUACAACUUUCAGCAACGGAUCUCUUGGCUCUCCUAUCGAUGAAGAACGCAGCGAAAUGCGAUAAGUAAUGUGAAUUGCAGAAUUCAGUGAAUCAUCGAAUCUUUGAACGCACCUUGCGCCCUUUGGUAUUCCGAAGGGCAUGCCUGUUUGAGUGUCAUUAAAUUAUCAACCUUGCUCGCUUUUACUAGCUUGAGUUUGGCUUGGAUGUGAGGGCUUUGCUGGCUUCCUUCAGUGGAUGGUCUGCUCCCUUUAAAUGCAUUAGUGGGAUCUCUUGUGGACCGUCACUUGGUGUGAUAAUUAUUUAUGCCUUGAGACUUUGAAGCAAACUAAUGGGAACCUGCUCAUAACCGUCUUCGCCCAAUCUCUGACAKUUGACCUCAAAUCAGGUAGA
rnacentral:rRNA from 1 species